rnacentral:tRNA from 1 species
UAGGGAAAUCAGCUCGAACUGAUGCUCCACACGCAAGG